AUGAACGCUGGCGGCGUGCCUAAUACAUGCAAGUCGAGCGAACAGACGAGGAGCUUGCUCCUUUGACGUUAGCGGCGGACGGGUGAGUAACACGUGGGUAACCUACCUAUAAGACUGGGAUAACUUCGGGAAACCGGAGCUAAUACCGGAUAAUAUUUCGAACCGCAUGGUUCGAUAGUGAAAGAUGGCUCUGCUAUCACUUAUAGAUGGACCUGCGCCGUAUUAGCUAGUUGGUAAGGUAACGGCUUACCAAGGCAACGAUACGUAGCCGACCUGAGAGGGUGAUCGGCCACACUGGAACUGAGACACGGUCCAGACUCCUACGGGAGGCAGCAGUAGGGAAUCUUCCGCAAUGGGCGAAAGCCUGACGGAGCAACGCCGCGUGAGUGAUGAAGGUCUUCGGAUCGUAAAACUCUGUUAUUAGGGAAGAACAAACGUGUAAGUAACUGUGCACGUCUUGACGGUACCUAAUCAGAAAGCCACGGCUAACUACGUGCCAGCAGCCGCGGUAAUACGUAGGUGGCAAGCGUUAUCCGGAAUUAUUGGGCGUAAAGCGCGCGUAGGCGGUUUUUUAAGUCUGAUGUGAAAGCCCACGGCUCAACCGUGGAGGGUCAUUGGAAACUGGAAAACUUGAGUGCAGAAGAGGAAAGUGGAAUUCCAUGUGUAGCGGUGAAAUGCGCAGAGAUAUGGAGGAACACCAGUGGCGAAGGCGACUUUCNNGUCUGUAACNGACGC
rnacentral:rRNA from 1 species